UACGAAGGGGGCGAGCGUUGUCCGGAUUUACUGGGCGUAAAGCGCGCGCAGGCGGUUCUGUAAGUCCUGGGUGAAAUCGCCCGGCUCAACUGGGCGGGGGCCUGGGGGACUGCGGGACUGGAGGGGCCUAGAGGCCGGUGGAACUCCCGGUGUAGUGGUGAAAUGCGUAGAGAUCGGGAAGAACACCAGUGGCGAAGGCGGCCGGCUGGGGGCGCCCUGACGCUGAGGCGCGAGAGCGUGGGGAGCGAACCGG
rnacentral:rRNA from 1 species